GCUUACGGCCACACCUCCCUGAGCACGUCUGAUCUCGGAAGCUAAGCAGAGUCGGGCCCGGUUAGUACUUGGAUGGGAGACCGCCUUGGAAUACCAGGUGCUGUAAGCC
ensembl:rRNA 5S_rRNA 5S ribosomal RNA